GUUUUUGUAGCUGAAGUACAGCGGUAGCUUUUCGAGCUAAAGGUCUAGGUUAAAUUCCUGGUAAAAAUA
rnacentral:tRNA from 1 species